rnacentral:lncRNA from 10 species
GGCGCCAGGCGCUCCGGCCGCAAGGGAGCAGGGAGCCCUGCCAGCUGGGCCACCCGAGGGGCGUUGCGGGGCUCCGGGCGGGGUCGACCCGGGGGGCUCCGUCGGGCCCCACCAGCCUUGCGCCUUUUUCGCUCGGUCUCCUUGGCCUCCCGCUCCUGCGACGCCGCUUUCCUUUUCUCUUGCUCCCGAGCUCGGACCUCGGCCAGGGGCCCCGCCCGCCAGUUGGUCGCCUCCUGCAGCACCCUGGAGGCCCAGGGCCGGCGGGGCGGCGGCUGUGGGGAUCCCGGGCGCGGCCCACACCUGGGACAAUGAGCAGGAACCCAGAGACAGGGUCUUGCUGUGUUGCUGAGCUGGUCUUGAACUCCUGGCCUCCCGCCUCAGUCUCCCAAAGUGCUGGGAUUACAGGUAUGAGCCACUGCACCUUCUCUCCUAUUUUCUACUUUGUUGAUUUUUAACUCUCCUUUCUGGGAAAUUUCCUCAUGUUGAUUUUUGAAACCUCCAGCUGGGUUUAAAUUUUUGCUACUAUAUUUUUAAUUUCCAAGAGUUCCUUUUUGUUUUCUGAAAAUUCCUUCUUUAAAAAAUUGUAUCCUAUACUUGUUUCAUGGUGGAAAUAAGGUUUUUUGUUGUUGUUGUUUUUGUUUUUUUGAGACAGAGUUUCACUCUUGUUGCCCAGGCUGGAGUGCAAUGGUGCAAUCUCGGCUCACAGCAACCUCCACCUCCUGGGUUCAAGCGAUUCUCCUGUCUCAGCCUCCCGAGUAUCUGGGAUUACAGGUACAUGCCACCAUGCCCAGCUAAUUUUUGUAUUUUUAGUACAGACAGGGUUUCAUCAUAUUGGGCAGGCUGGUCUCAAACUCCUGACCUCAGGUGAUCUGCCUGCCUCGGCCUCCCAAAGUGCUGGGAUUACAGGCGUGAGCCACCGUGCCCGGCUGUUGUUUUCUUUAAAGAUAUACUACUUUCACAGGUAUUGAGAAAUAUGUUCCUUUAUCUAAGAUUAUAUUAAUGUUAUUAAAGUUUUCUUCUCAUCUUUUCCUUCCAGUUGCUUUUUUCCUGUUUGUUUCUUCUGUGUGUACAUGAGGUUGGGAGAGGCAGUUUGCUUUUUCAUUUUUAUUUAUUUUUUACCAGGGAGAUACAGCCUUCAGAGUAAAACAAAGGUACAUUCCAGAGUGGGGUGGGGGGCAGUUUGGAUCACUUUUUUUCACAGAUCCUUUCUUUAGAUGUUUGGUAAUCCCUAGUUUAAAGGAGAACUUAAACCAUAACUUAAGAGUGGAGGCUUUAAAGCUGAGUGGAAGCUCUAAGUGUGUAAGUGAGCCUUGCUGACAGUGAGUCAUUUGGAUAGGGAACAUUCAAUACUUAUAUAUUUUAGGACUUCCCUUCAAGAGGAUUCUGGAGAGAAGGAUUAUUCAAUUUCAUGCUUGGAGGGUGAAGGCUCUUCUGCCAGCGCUCUGGAAACUGAAAAGGGGGAAAGGGCUGGAGGCUCAGCAUCGAGUAUAGUUCACUACAUGCUCCUGUUUUCAGUGCAGUACUUCAGCCCUAAGCUGUGCCCGAGUCCCUUGCCAGAUUUCCAGUCUCUGCCACAGUUGGGAGGCAGAGUUGCCCACUGUACUCAAUGGGGUAGGGUGUCUUGGGAUCUGACUGUUUCUUAGACCUUCAAUGCUUCUUGGCUUUCCUCACUGCUAGUUAUAAUUCAGUUUUCUCAGGUCUAAGUCAUUCAUCACUCUUUUGUCUGCUUUUCAGCUUCCAAAAAUUCAUUGCUAUUAUCUCCUCUCCUGUUUUCCCUAUGGUGUGUUUGUGUCUUUUUCUUUAAAAAAAUUCCUUUAUGGUGGUUUUAGGGGAGUUUUUGGGAAUAUAUAUUCAAUGUACCACCUUUUUUUUUUUUUGAGACAGAGUCUUGCUCUGUCACCCAAGCUGGAGUGCAGUGGUGCGAUCUCCACUCACUGCAACCUCCUCCUCCUGAGUUCAAGCGAUUCUCAUGCCUCAGCCUCCCAAGUAGCUGGGAUUACGGCACAUGUCACCAUGCCUGGCUAAUUUUUAUAUUUUUAGUAGAGACGGGGUUUCACCAUGUUGGCCAGGCUGGUCUCAAACUCUUGUUCUCAAGUGAUCCACCCGCCUCAGCCUCCCAAAGUGCUGGGAUUACAAGCAUGAGCCACUACGCGCAGCCCAAUCUACCAAUCUACCGUCUUUAACUGGAAGCCUACCAUUGUUAUUCAAACUUGAGAAUUCAGACUCCCAAGAACAUGUCUUUGGACACCAGUUGAAGAUACAUACACUACAUUGAUAGUUAAAUACUAUCAUUCAGGCCACAGGCCCAUAAACAUAUUGGAUUUGGCUUUCUCAGUGUUUGUUUGUUUAUAAUUGAGACAGGAUCUCACUCUCUGCCCAGGCUGGAGUGCAAAAAAUUUUUAAUUUUUUGUAGAGACAGGGUCUCACUAAGUUAUCCAGGCUGGUUUCGAACUCCUGAGCUCAAGUGAUCCUCCUGCCUUGGCCUCUCAAAGUGCUGGUGUUACACUGUGCCCAGACUUGAAGAUCUGGCAAAAAUAGGUCUUAGUUGACCAGACCUAGAUAGUUGUCGCCUUUUUUUUUUUUUGAGACGGAGUUUCACUUUUGUUGCCCAGGCUGGAGUACAAUGGCAUGAUCUCGGCUCACUGCAACAAAAUCUGCCUCCCAGGUUCAAGCGAUUCUGUGAUUCUCCUGCCUCAGCCUCCCAAGCAGCUGGGAUUAUAGGCGCCCACCAUCAAGCCCAGCUAAUUUUUUCUACUUAGUAGAGAUGGGGUUCCACCAUGUUGAUCAGACUGGUCUGUAACUUGUGACCUCAGGUGAUCCACCUGCCUUGGCCUCCCAAUGUGGUGGGAUUACAGGCGUGAGCCACCACACCCAGCUGCCUUUAGUUUUUUGAGACAGAGUCUUGUGCUGUCGCCCAGGCUGGGGUGUAGUGGCACAGUCUCGGCUCACUGCAACCUCUGCCUCCCAGGUUCUAAAAAUUCUCCUGCCUCAGCCUCCCGAGUAGCUGGGAUUACAGGCAUGCAGCUCCACGCCCAGCUAAUUUUUUAUUUUUAGUAGAGACAAGAUUUCACGAUGUUGGCCAGGCUGGUCUUCAACUUCUGACCUUAGGUGAUCCACCCACCUUGGCCUCCCAAAGUGCUGGGAAUACAGUCAUGAAUCACCAUGCCCGGCCCAGCUGUCGCCUUCUUUUCAUAUGUAGUUCACUUCACUGCUUGGUCCAUGUAGGCAAUUUGAGUUUCUAGUUUCUGCCUUGGUGCUAAUGCAAAUGUACUCAGAAACAUAAAAUAGGCACUGGCCAGCAUUGGAACUGUCUUCCCUGUGCUCUGGAUUUUAGAGGUUUAGUGCUUCUAUUACUAGAUUAGUUCUAAGAGCCUUUUCCUAAUUUUUUUCUUUCUUUUUUUUUUUUUUCUGAGACGAAGUUUCACUCUUGUUGCCCAGGCUGGAGUGCAAUGGCACGAUCUUGGCUCACUGCAAUUUCUGCCUCCCUGGUUCAGGCAAUUGUGCUUCAGCCUCCCAAGUAGCUGGGAUUACAGGCAUGCGCCACCACACCUGGCUGAUUUUGUAUUUUUAGUAGAGACAGGGUUUCACCAGGUUGGUCAGGCUGGUCUCAAACUCCUGAGCUCAAGUGAUCCACCUGCCUCGGCCUCCCAAAGUGCUGGGAUUACAGGUGUAAGCCACUGCACCAAGCCCUUUG